GAUGAACGCUAACGGCAGGCCUAACACAUGCAAGUCGAGGGAGAAGCCCUUUCGGGGGCAGAAACCGGCGCACGGGUGCGUAACGCGUAUGCAACCUACCUUUCACAGGGGGAUAGCCCGAAGAAAUUUGGAUUAAUACCCCAUAAUAUUAUUGGAUGGCAUCAUUUGAUAAUUAAAACUGCGGUGGUGAAAGAUGGGCAUGCGUCCUAUUAGCUAGUUGGAGUGGUAACGGCACCCCAAGGCUACGAUAGGUAGGGGUCCUGAGAGGGAGAUCCCCCACACUGGUACUGAGACAGGGACCAGACUCCUACGGGAGGCAGCAGUGAGGAAUAUUGGUCAAUGGUCGGAAGACUGAACCAGCCAUGCCGCGUGCAGGAAGAAUGCCUUAUGGGUUGUAAACUGCUUUUAUAUGGGAAGAAUAAGGCGUACGUGUACGUUGAUGACGGUACCAUAUGAAUAAGCAUCGGCUAACUCCGUG
rnacentral:rRNA from 1 species